GUGUAGGGCCAUACCACCCUGAAGGCGCCUGAUCUCGUCUGAUCUCAGAAGCUUAGCAGGGUCGGGCCCAUUUAGUACUUGGAUGGGAGACCGCCUGGAAAAAGUGGGCACUAUAGGUU
rnacentral:rRNA from 1 species